GGUGCAAAUUUUCAGAGAGAUGAGUGUUUUGCUUGAGGGCAGAAUGGAUUGUUGCAGGGAUUGACUGUGACACCUGUGUCAAAUGAGAGUGAGGAGAGCAUAGCGAGUUUUAUGGGCAUUCGUAAUGCUCUGAAGAUUACUUGAUUUAACUUUGGAAAAGUCAAGGCCCAGUCAUCUCCCUCAGAAAGUCAUUCCCUGUGCAUGGCUGGCCUGAGCCAACAUACUGCGUGGCAACGUGCCCAUUGUUUGCUGUGAAUUUAGAACCUGAAGCUAAGGAUGAAAGCCCUUGUCAGCUGUGCAGUACCAGUGGUCAGAUGGUCUGUCGCAUCUUGUAGGCUUAACAGUUUUGCUGAUAAAUCUAACUCGAUGCUAAUGGAUGUGCUGUAAUACAAUAUGGAACAGAAGCUAGGACCCCGUGGCCUGUCAUGGACCAUGUAAUUUAUGACUGAAACAUCUCAGAUAUUUAUGCUGACAAGAGAAAUACUUGAUAUUUCCUGCUAAUGUGCUAGCCCACUCUUCUGAUUCUAGAUGAUUUUUUGGCCUAUUUUAUUCCAUCUCCUUUACCACUCCUGCCAUCUACUCUGUCACUCAGAGCUGCCAGGGCUCUUUUGCUUCUGCUGCCCCAUUUAUUUUAACAGAGAGAGCAACUGGAUGACUGCAAUGGUUUGCCUAGAAAUAAAAUAGAUUCUCUCAUCAGUUAAAGCCAACACUGGUAUCCUUCUAAAAGUAAUGAUAUGUUCCAACUUCACAUGACUGGGCACAAUUUAGAAAUCAGAGUGAAAUUCUCUGGCCAACAUAAUGUAGGAAACUGGACUGGAGAACAGACAGUCCCUGGAGCCCCCAAAAUCUAUGAAAACAUGUCAAUCUUUUCUUCAGAUGUAGUCACUUUUGCUCUCCGAAUCUGGCAUUGGAACUUGCAUUUCUUCAAUUUGCAUUAAUCCUAAGAAGCCUCUGUAAAAAUAUUGAUUUGCAAUUUCUUUUCCAUAUAGACUGUAAAUAUUUUUUUUUUCCCUCUCUCAUUUCUGAUGCCUUCUUGUGUGGUUCCAGCAAUGUAUAGAUGGAGUGGCUUGGAUUGGUAAAGCAGCAGUUUUCACUUGAUUUCCAUUUUAUUAUUUGAAAGAGUAGCCAAUAAUUUGGCACAUUUUUUUUUUUUUUUUAAAAGAAAAUAUGACAUUAAUUUCACCUUUUUAACACAUUGUUCUAAGAAUGAAAGAAACCUAAUGUAACAAUAGGGAUAGGCAAGCAUUGCACAAUAUUUGAUAGUCUUUUCUGUGUUAAAUUCUGCUUUUCUUUUAAAAUAAGACAAGGACCACACUGUGUUAAAGUAUGGUUGUGCAGGAACGUUAAUCUUCUUUUCUUUUAAAUUGUGUGUUACUAAUGUCUCCCAAAUUUUUGCUUGCUUUUUGCUUGUAUUCAUCAAUGUUUUAAUGGUUUCAUAAAGUACAAAUCCUCACUGCAUUUUAACCAUCAGUCAUGUGUACAAAAAUCCUUUAAUUUUACCCUGCAUAGACACUGAAAUAAAGAGGAAAUUACAUAUUUAAAA